rnacentral:rRNA from 1 species
CCUACGGGAGGCAGCAGUGGGGAAUAUUGCACAAUGGGGGAAACCCUGAUGCAGCGACGCCGCGUGAGUGAAGAAGUAUUUCGGUAUGUAAAGCUCUAUCAGCAGGGAAGAAGAAAGACGGGACCGGACGAAGAAGCCCCGGCUAACUACGUGCCAGCAGCCGCGGUAAGACGGAGGGGGAAAGCGUUAUCCGGAUUUACUGGGUGUAACGGGAGCGUAGACGGCUGUGCAAGUCGGACGUGAAAGCCCAUGGCUCAACCCUGGGACUGCUUUGGAAACUGUGGAGCUAGAGUGCUGGAGAGGUAAGUGGCCUUCCUAGUGUAGCGGUUAACUGCGUAGAUCUUAGGAGGCACACCAGUGGCGCAGGCGGCUUACUGGACAGUACCUGCCGUUGAGGCUCGACAGCGUGGGGAGCAAACAGGAUUAGAUACCCUGGUAGUC